rnacentral:rRNA from 1 species
AGCGAAAUUCCUUGUCAGGUAAGUUCUGACCCGCACGAAUGGAGUAAUCAUGUGGGCACUGUCUCAGCAAAGGACUCGGUGAAAGUGCAUUGGCGGUAAAGAUGCCGUCUGUCCGCACCAGGACGAAAAGACCCCGUGGAGCUUUACUACAGCUUCGCAUUGACACGAUUUUUGACCCGUGUAGUAUAGGAGGGAGACUUUGAAGCAGAUACGCUAGUAUUUGUGGAGUCGCCAGUGAAAUACCUCCCUUGUUAAGAGUUUUGUCUAACUUAUACCGUUAUCCGGUAUGAGGACCGUGCGUGGUGGGUAGUUUAACUGGGGCGGUUGCCUUAACUAUCAGUUACAAUCUCCGCAAGAUUACUGAUUAUGGGGCGUAUUUGGCUAUAUGCUGGAACAUCUGGGAAUACUGCGAUACUCGUUCGCGUUCGUGCGAGCAGUGAAAAUUCGUCAGUUGCAGACAAUCAGCAGGGAAGGCCUUAAUUUUACGGUUGAUUAUGUUUUAGAGUAUUUAAUGAUACAAUGUUUGAUAUGAGUAUAGGAAUCGAAAAUAACGUUACGGGGGGGGGCAGUUCUAGCCAAGAUGGCUACGAAAGAAAAAGUCAGCCGCUUGAAGUUGAAAUUAGGCCACUCGCCAGUGACGAAAUCGAACAAGUUAUUCCACUUUUGAUGGCAAAUCUCAAGGAUCAAUUCACCGGUGAGCCAAUUACGGACGAAAUUGAAGAAGUAAUUGGUUUUAUAAGUGGUCAAAAAGAUGGGCACGGCAGAGCUCGAGAGUUUUUGGCAGCUCAUGACGUAGGCGGGAAAAUUGUAGGCAUAUCAGCGUAUUCUACGCUUGAACCUAAUAUGUUGCAACACUUUUUUAACAUCAUCCCAGACGAAGCCGUUGAGAUACUGAAUGGUUUUACUGACCCGGCAACCCAACGUGGUGGCGGUGUUGGCAAGGCGUUGUUUGACGCAGUGGUUGAAACGGCCAAGGCGCAGGGCAAAAAGUAUCUUGUUGCCAACUCUGGUCCGCGAUAUUCUGCGAAUUGGGGCUUUCAUGAUAGAAUGUUUGAUAAAAGAACGGGCUUCCUGAAGAACCAAUACGGACCUGGGCGCGAUGCAAUGACUUGGAUAAAAUAUCUUUCUUAAAUAUUUCUAAAACAUAAUCAACGAAAAAAUUGAGGAACCCUCAGAGACUACACGCCAAACGCUCGCUUGAAAGAGCGAGUGAAGAUAUAGUCCGAUCUCUAUGGCGACAUAGAGGUGUGCGAAAGGUGAAAGUUCGCACACGCUUGAUGAGAAUCAGGUUAACAAAAUGCCUAAAGAGUAGCGGAGGCGUUCAAAGGUUGGCUAACUACGGAUGGAAAUCGUAGUGAUAGUGUAUACGCAAAAGCCAGCUUGACUGUGAGGAGUACAUUCCGAUCAGACACGAAAGUGGGAGUAAGUGAUCCGCUGUAAGAAUUUUAUAUUCAAUGAAUGUGGGAUCGACAGCGCAAACGGAUAAAAGUUACCCCGGGGAUAACAGGCUUAUAGCGCCCAAUAGUUCACAUAGACGGCGCUGUUUGGCACCUCGAUGUCGGCUCAUCACAUCCUGGGGCUGGAGCAGGUCCCAAGGGUUCGGCUGUUCGCCGAUUAAAGUGGUACGCGAGCUGGGUUCAGAACGUCGUGAGACAGUUCGGUUUAUAUCCGGUGUGGACGUCAGGAAACUUGCGAGGAUUUGCCCCUAGUAAGCAAAUUGCUACUUCACGCAGAAAUGCGUGAUGACAAUAUGGCUAAUAACGGUGAAGGCUUCAGGAAGUUUUAUAGUUUCUUUCGAUUGAUUAUGUUUUAGAGUAUUUAAUGUGAUACAAUAUCAGUUAUGAGUAAGCACUAUUUGCGAAAACUUGACGACAAAAUGGGUGAAGCCGAAUACAAAAUGUAUCGCGCUAUUCCAGCCGAAGAAAUCGGUAUGGAAAACCCUUGUCAUCAUAUGUCUUAUGACGAGUGGCGGAAAUGGUUGGAAGGCGAAAUCUCUCAAGAAGAAUACGUAACUUACGUAAUGUAUUUGAAAGAUUUCCCAAUCGGGCAUAUCACAGUCGCUUUCAAUAUUAAAACUGACGGUGGCAAUUUGAGUUAUGCAAUACGACCGAUUUCGCGUGCUAUGGGUUUGGGCGUAGUAAUGCUUAAACUAGUGAUAGGAGAAGCGAAACUGCUUGGUAUCAAGAGAUUAGUUGGCUCUGCCCGCAAAACUAAUGUUGCGUCGUGGCGGAUGAUGGAAGAAUGUGGUUUUACUUUCUUGAAAGAAACGGAAUGGAGCUCGAAAGAAUACGAACUUAAACUUUCAUAAUUAUUGAAUACUUGCUAAAACAUAAUCAACGAAAGAUAAGAUUUGAACCAAGAUUUAGUCCAUCUUGAAAAAUCGAAUACUAUGAAACCGAAAAAGUUAAUACCGUGGGAAGUCGACACAAUGGCGCGAGCCGUGUUUGACCCCGUAUCGACUUGAGUAAUAGAGUAAAAUCUAUCUACCGGAACGAAUCACAAAUGGCGAAAGUCGUGAUUUGUUAAUACGCCAUCCCUUAACUCGAAAACGAGAAAGGUGAAGAUAUAGUCAGUGCUAACAGAAAUGUUGGAAUAAACGACGAGAGGACCGGGGUGAACGCACCUCUGGUGUAUCGGUUGUGGCCACCUGCCGCAUUGCCGAGUAGCUAUGUGCGGAGCAGAUAAGCGCUGAAAGCAUAUUAAGCGCGAAACUGACCUCAAGAUUAGGUUUCCCUAUGAGGACCCAGAUAGACGAUCUGGUUGAUAGGCUUUAACUGGAAGUGCGGUAACGUAUGGAGGUGAGAAGUACUAAUAGUCCCAUUGCCUUUUUAUG